UAGUAGUUCAGUAGGUAAGAACAAUAGCAUCAAAUGUCGCGGGUUCGAAUCCCGUCAAUUU
rnacentral:tRNA from 1 species